UUUGCUUGUCCUAAUCACAAGUUAAACUAAAAAAGUAAAUAAACAAAUUUUUUUAUUGGUAAUUGAAGAUUUAUUGUAAAAGAAAAAGGCAUAGCCCAAGUACACAUGUAGCAUAGAACCAGAACACCUAAUAAGAAAUAAAUAUUCUAUAUACCAUAC